rnacentral:tRNA from 1 species
AGGAGGUAGGUUGAAAAUAAAUUCAAGAAAAAGCUGCUAACUUUUAUCUUUAGCGGUUAAACUCCGUU